rnacentral:misc_RNA from 1 species
AGCAUUGGCAAAACAGAGGGUAGAUGAAUACAUUUAUUCUCAGUUAGUGCAACAAGCUGGUGCGCAAGCUCAACCGUCAUUCUUGCAGGGGUGAUGAAGCUGGAAUUUAGGAGCUUUUAUGGAAAUUCACUGCUACAGAGUUCUUGGCAACUUACGCUCUCUCAAGACUUCAUGAAUGUUGAUAUAAAGAUGAGCCAUUGUAGAUGGGGGACCUAUGCUUGUUGUGUUGCAAUUAUGUACAAUAUCUAUUAA